AUGUCCACCCACUUCCCUAAGUGAAGUGGGAAGUGCGGCCUGGGAUCGAGGCUAGAUGAACUCUUGAUUAUAUGUAGCCAUAGGGUGAUUACAUGGUAGUCUCAUGAACUCUUUGGUACCGCGGCCUUACCUCGAAUCCCACAAUCAUAUAGGCGUGGCUUCUGGUUACAUGCAUGCCUACCGCACAUGCGCAUCCAGUAUACACAACCAAAAAUCCACGUAUAUGAUUAGCAUCUGUGAGAGGUGCACUUAUUAUACUGAUGUGUGCACAGAACCGUAUGAAAUCUAUUUUGUAAUACAAGUGGAUCAGAUGUGUGUUAAAGAUGUGUGUGCAAUAUGUACUUCACUCGUGAUUACCAAUGUGAUGUUCUGCUAUGUAUCACAAGUGAGGAAGGAGCUGCUCUGCUACACAUCUGUGCAUGUAGAACAACUGGCCAGACAGCUAGAUGCCAGACAGCUAGACGUCAGUCAUCUAUAGAGUGGAAACGCAUGGCUGCUUUUAUUGUGACCCCUUAUGUGACUAACUAUGAAUGGCUCGCACUUUCAAAAGUGUUCAGAGUUGCAUAGUGUGUUUCAUUUUGGAAAGCAGACAAGUAUGUAAGGGGUUCUUAGACCUGGUAAGGAAUGCAACCCACACAUUAAAAAAAAUGGAAGUGCACCCGCUGCUCAACCUUGUGGAAGACCUUGCUGUCUCUUCGGUCCAACUGCUGCUUUCAAUUAACACUGAAAGGUGUGAAGCCUUUAAUUUAUAUUGAUGAGGGAGAAGAAAGUUUUUCAAAUAGACGAGCCCUAAGUGGUGAUAUUACUGCUUCGUUUUCAACAUUACAAGCAUUGAGAUUUGUCUAUUCAAGUGGCUAUUACCAGAGUGAGAUUUUCAACAGUGUGUUGCUGGGUUGACUAAUCUCUACAACCAGCAUGGAAUGGCCUGGUGUCUCAUCACACAUCUUGGCAAGGCUAUAUCAGUCUGGAGCAGCACUGAGAAAGGCUCAACCAACAAGUUGAGAGAUAUUGCCAGAUAUUGCCUUAAUUGUCUUUCAAUGGCACCAAUCAGAAUGGUGUGAAGUCCAAGAGAAUACGAUAUACAUUCAUCAUAGUCUUGGAUGUUUUCAAUCGGUGCAAACGUAUAUGGAGCAGUUUAUGGACACAUGUACGAAUUACUUCUUGCUUGAAUGUUGUGUAUGCAGGACUCCUGUUGUUCAUUCUAAUUGCUUAAUUGACGGCAUAUAGUGGUCUGUGCCAUAAUGGAAGAAGAAUCUUCCCCCUUCCCCCUUGCCAAAAUGAGAGGCUUUUGACCCUUCGGACUGAACACGUAAACACAUGUUCCUGACAUGUACAUAUGUUACACUGGACAAUUCGACCUGGGAGCUCGAGUUGGGUUUCACCAUAUACAAUGAGCAAGACUGUCCGUUGUUAACUUAACAUUACUACGCAGCCUUUUACAAUCGAACAAGAACGAGAGCAACUUAGCAUUAUCAUAGUAAUUUUUAUAAGUUGUCCUCUAGCUAUUUUAACCAUCCUUUUCAUGCAUGCACUUGUCAAUACAUAAUUAUCUCUGCCAA